GGAGGAAAAGAACUAACAAGGAUUCCCCUAGUAACUGCGAGUGAAGCGGGAAAAGCUCAAAUUUAAAAUCUGGCAGUCUUUGGCUGUCCGAGUUGUAAUCUAGAGAAGUGUUGCCCGCGCUGGACCGUGUACAAGUCUCCUGGGAUGGAGCGUCAUAGAGGGUGAGAAUCCCGUCUCUGACACGGACUACCAGGGCUUUGUGGUACGCUCUCAAAGAGUCGAGUUGUUUGGGAAUGCAGCUCAAAAUGGGUGGUAAAUUCCAUCUAAAGCUAAAUAUUGGCGAGAGACCGAUAGCGAACAAGUACCGUGAGGGAAAGAUGAAAAGAACUUUGGAAAGAGAGUUAAACAGUACGUGAAAUUGCUGAAAGGGAAACGCUUGAAGUCAGUCGCAUUAGCUGGGGAUCAGCCUUGCUUUUUGCUGGGUGUAUUUCCUGGUUGAUGGGUCAGCAUCAAUUUUGACCGCUGGAAAAAGGCUUGAGGAAUGUGGCACCUCCGUGGUGUGUUAUAGCUUCUUGUCAYAUACAGUGGUUGGGAUUGAGGAACUCAGCAUGCCGCAAGGCCGGGUUUCGACCACGUUCRUGCUUAGGAUGCUGACAAAAUGGCUUUA
rnacentral:rRNA from 1 species